rnacentral:rRNA from 1 species
AAGGUGUUCCGUAGGUGAACCUGCGGAA